rnacentral:tRNA from 1 species
CAGAAUGUAGCUUAUGUAAAGUUAAUUAUUUACAUUAAUUGGAAAAUUAAAAUUCUUUCUGA